GAAAAUAGAGACUAUUCAAACAGUCUCAGACUUAUAGAGCUGUCUGCUCAACCCCAAAACUAGUACAUCGCGACGCUACUAUCGAACUUACGACAUUAAACAAAGUGCUUAGUGGGAGACAACCCACCUUUUCUUUUAUUUUUUAUCUUUGUUACAAAGUAUUUUCCUUCUUUGCUUUUCUUCUUUAUUUUUUUCUCCCCUCUUCUUGAUUCUAUGCAGAAAUUCUUGUUGCUUCUAGUUACUAACUUAGAAACAUUGGAUACUGAUUAAC
rnacentral:lncRNA from 1 species